ACAAGCGAUUUAACUCAGGCCUUACAGGUUCCUAAUUGUACAUCCUUAACUGUGAUGUAACGUGCCAGGCGCUAUAUCCAUACCAUGCAGUUUGUCUUUCUGAGCUCUCUUAGUUGUCUGUACUUUUCUGCUGUGCUGCAUCACCAGGAGGACAGUAUCCACGACUCCUUAAGAUGGACACAGGAACAGACACUAGGGUUACUAUUUCAAGCCACCUUCUCUUUCUCUGUGUGGAAGAAGUCCUGUCUUUUGCUCUGUAUCUCCAGUUCAACAGAGAGAAAUGAAAGGGAAAACGACCAAUUUUCCCCUUUUUGCUCUUGUUCCUUAUAGUCUCUAUUACAAGAUGAAUCACAUCAAUACAAAGCUUAGCUUCCUUGCUAACAAACAAGACAGCUGUCCCCUGUGACACAGAGGAUUAGUGCAAUCCAGAUUUAUGCCCUAAGAAACUUGAGGGCACAAUGAAAAAUGAACCGUGCUUCUGCACUUCAGCUCCCUCAUCCAGCUACUCUGGCUUCUGGUCUAUCUGCCUUUAUCUGUUAAAAAAAGGCUAGAGGUGAGUCUUUCUCACACUUCUGCAGCCUCUACAACUGCAGAAAAAGAAUGAAAAUAAGGAUGUAGGGUGUAACUUGUACUCCUUAGUGCCUGCUGAAUAAAAACCAUGGCCCUUGAGGAGUCCUAUUAAUUAUUUAGUGUUAAAUAUUAACGAUUGCUCAUUUAGCUCUGGGGUUUAAAUUUUCACUAUUCAGUACUUCCCCUCUGAUGUCUGCCUACAAGCCCUCCUGAAUCCUGUGGAACUGCCUCCAAUACACCGAGAUUGGAUAGAUACUGCCUGUGUUGUAUGUGGAGACUGGAACAAAUGCUGACCUACUACUAGCAAAACUAUCUUAAAUAUACUGCAAACCUUGAAAUAAGGAGAUAUUCAUAUUUUUAUGUAGAGAAGUCCCUUUGACAGCUGGCCAAUUGCAAAUUUUUUUUCAUGGAUAAAAGUAUCAGUGAGCAAAACCAAGAACUUUCUGCCAUGGUGUCACUCUGAUAUCAUCAUAUACUGAGAAGUGGGAUCAAGUCUUCAUCAGUCUGUGACACACUGGCCUUUGUUUUUUUUUGUUGUUGUUGUUGUUUGUUGUUUGGGUUUUUUUAACUUUUAAAAUGUGAUAAGCUAAACAAGUCUUCAGAAACUUAAGAUAUGUUAGCAAGUGUUUUAGCUGGGAGUGGAGUGCUUUUAUUCAGUUGACUAUGACUAUUUUACCUGUGUGCCACUGUAUGGGUCAGUACAAAGUAUGCUUGGAUGCCUACCAGAAUAAAUGACUCCAGAACUGUGGUUGG
rnacentral:lncRNA from 7 species